GCCCGAGCAGGGGUACGCCGGCCGGUGGAUGCCUCGGCUUGGGCGCUGAAUAAGGACGUGGCAAGCUGCGAUAAGCUCCGGGUACCCGCAGGCAGGGGUAGAUCCGGAGAUCUCCUAAUGGGACAUCCUGCGGUGGGCUUCGGCUCGCCGCGUUCCCGGGCGCAAGCCUGGGAUCGGGAACCCCCCGAACGGAAGCAUCCAAGUAGGGGGAGGAGAAGAAAUCAAACGAGAUCCCCCGAGUAGGGGCGACCGAAAGGGGAGGAGCCCAAACCGAACCCCCCGGGGAAACUCGGGGGGAAUGUGGGGUUAAGGGCCGGAGGCCCGCCCUGAAGGUCGAGCCGAACUCCCCUGGAAUGGGGGGCCAGAGAGGGUGAUAGCCCCGUAGGCGUAGGUCGGAUGGGCGAUGCUCCGGACCCAGAGUACCGCACCUCGGAUAUGGUGUGGGAAGUUGGGGGCCACUGGCCUCCAAGGCUAAAUACGUCCCAAGACCGAUAGCGGAACAGUAGCGUGAGCGAAAGGUGAAAAGUACCCCGGGAGGGGGGUGAAAAGCGCCUGAAACCGGCCGGUAACAGACGUGGGCGGCCCGAAAGGGAAAUCCCCGUCAAGGCUCCGAUGAGGGGUCGCGCGGGGACAAUCCCAGGGUCGCCCGCUCCGUCUUGAAACACGGGCCGGGGAGUUCACGGGUGUGGCGAGUCUAAGGGCUGAAAGCCCGAAAGCGUAGGGAAACCGACCAGCUCGCAGCGGCGACGGCCGUGAGGAGCGGGGUCCGAAAGGGCCUGUAGCCACGCCCGUGAGGCUAGAAACCGGGCGAUCUAGCCCUGGGCAGGGUGAAGCCGGGGGAAACCCCGGUCGAGGCCCGAAUAGGGGUCCUGACGUGCAAUUCGGUCCCCUGACCUGGG
rnacentral:rRNA from 1 species